rnacentral:tRNA from 1 species
CUAAGGAAUUAACGGAACCCAACACAUUCGUCUUUAUUUUGUUCAGUUUUGAGAGGUUAAUUUUUUUUGAACUAAAUUAAUUAAAUACCUUUUAAAAAGGGGCCUUAGCUCAGCUGGGAGAGCGCCUGCCUUGCACGCAGGAGGUCAGCGGUUCGAUCCCGCUAGGCUCCAUUAGUAAUCUUUUGUUAGAUUACUUGAAUUUGUUCUUUGAAAACUGGAUACUGUAUUAAAAAAGUAAGUUAAGUAAGAAACCGAGAAACACCGCGUUUUAAAUGAGUUUUUUAAUUAGUUCUUAUCGCAAGAUAAUGAAUAAACAUUAACUAACAGGAUUGUUUUAGCAAUAAAAUCUUCCACACAAACUAUUUGUGCAGGAAUGCAACAGAAUUUUAGGAUUGAACUGCAAUGAGCCUCGAAGCGUACUAACGUACGUAAGAAGUGAAUGAAGGAACAAGACGAUGAAGACUGAAGCAGUACCAACAAAUAA